rnacentral:lncRNA from 1 species
CCUGUGUUUCAUGUGCAUGUCUGUAUUGUACUGCCAGGCAAACACACAUGACUCUGAUAGAAACUAGUCAUUCUAGAUGUCAUUAAAUUGCACAGAAUUAGACUACUUAAAAUGGUAUGAUUAUCACAACAUUUAUUCCUAUUUUCCAUCUCAGAUCCUUAAAAACUAUUAAGGGAAAAUAUUUUCAACUCAUUCAUGGUGUACCACCAUGAGGUCAGGAAAAGUCUAAUUUUAAAGAUUAUGGGAUUUGAAUUGGAAGAAAUUUAAUUGCAAAAAUAACCCUAUAUCUUAAAAGAGUAUAGAAGGGAAAAGAGUGCUUUCUAUUACGCUACAAAUUCACAGGGGGGUGUUCCAUGAGAAGAUCUAGUUCUUGCCAUAUUUGACAAAAUUUAGCUUUAUUUUUGAAGUUCGUUUUUUUGAGGUAUACAUUGUGCACAAUAAAAUUCACCCUUUUUAGGUGCGUAUUUCUAUGAAUUUUGACAAAUGCAUACUGUAAGUUUGGCCAAAAGGAUGAGACCCAAAUUCAGGCAUAAAAGACUUUAUUAGUGGGGUAUACUGUCCUGCUGAUUCACAAAGGGAUCAGCCAGCCAUUUGAGGAGGGUGGUUAUGUGUGGGUGCCAAGAAAGGGGGUUUCUGUGCAGAAGCUGAUUGGCCAUUUUUUAUGCAAAAUAGAGUGAAAAGGAACAGACCAAUCUGUUUACUUUCAACAAACUAUGUAAAUAGGGUGAAAAAGGAACAGACCAAUCUGCAGGGGUUUAGACACUCUCCUAGGUGAGGUAGUCUUAAAGUUUGGGUCACAUGAUUUCGGGGAAGACCUAGUCAUGUCUUAGAUAUGUUUCUCCAGGAGUCGGGGGGAGAGCUUGGAAUCAGGUUUCGUUUUUUCCAUUUUUCCUGAGGCGAACCUAACACAUACAUUCAUGUUACUACCAUCAGAAUAAAAACAUAGAUCGUUUUCAUCAUAUUGAAAAAUCCCCUUAUGCACCCUUGUAAUCAACUUCCUCUUCCCAUCCUAGACUCUGGCAACUAGUGGUCUAUGUCCUGUUCCUCUUAUUUUGCUUUUACCAGAAUAUUAUACAAAUGGAUUUAUACAGUAUUUAGCUUGUGGGACUAGCUUCUACAAAUCCAAGUGCAUCUGAUAGUCAUCUAUCACUUUGUGUACAUGCAAAGUUUCCUUUAUUGCUGACUAAUAUCUCAUUAUUUGAAGGUAGCAUUAUUUGCUGAUCCAUUCUACAAUUGAUGGACAUUUGAGUUAUUUCCAGACUUUGACGGUUAUGAGUAAAGUUGCUAUAAACAUAUGAAUGCAGGUUUUUGUAUAUACAUAUAUUUUCAUUUCUUCUGGGUAAGUAGGACUGCUGCAAUGUAUGGUAACAUUUGUUCAAAUUUUUGUUUUUAAAUAUUUGGUGGUUUAUUUUCUUAAUAGUGAAAUAUUCAUUCAUUAAUUAUUAAGUAUUCUUUAUACAUCUGGAAGCCAGUUAGUUAUCAUAUAUUUAUUGCAUAUGUGUUUUGUAAAUAUUUUUUUCUAGCUUCUGGUUUUCUUUUCAUUUUUAUAGUAUCUUUCAAAGAGCAAAAGCUUUUCAUUUUUAUUGUGUCCAGUUUAACAAACUUUAUUUUAUAAUUCUUUCGUCUUUGCCUAAGCCAAGAUCUCAAAGAGCUAAGAAAAAUUACUAUUCAUUUCUUUGAGGAGAGUUUGUAAGGCAUGGUAAUGAUGUAUACACAGCAGGCAUGGAAAAGUCAGGCUCUGGAAUCUAGCGCAUGACACCUGUUAGACCAAGAGAGGACUCCGUGGAUCUAACCAGCACAUAGACUCUGAUUAUCUAGGAGUAAACAGACACAUAGACACAGUGUGCAAAAAGGCAGAGCAAAUUCCAUGUGUGAUCCAGGUAACUGUCAACAACAAGGGGUCAGAGGACAGAUGGCUGAUAAUAAGGUGAGGGCUUUGAGGAUCAACGUAGUUGGAAUGUCGUUAUUCAGUUAAUCUGCCCCCUAGUGUUGGAAAUCCAGCUGUCUUGAUGAUUAUUUCAUUCAUAACCCCAACAUGACCAUGUUCAUUUCUGAGAGAGAAGAUCAAGAAUCACGGGGUUUUGGCUCUCUGUUCUGGGGAAGAUUUGGGGCUUGCAGUUUUUUUGGGUUUUUUGUUUUUGUUUUUGUUUUUUCCAGAUUCUUUGUUUCAUUUUUGUUUGUUUGAUUUUUGCUUGUUUUUUCCUCCAGUUUUAUUGAGAUAUAAUUGACACAGAACAUUGUGUAAGUUUAAGGUGUACAAAGCGUUGAUUUGAUAUAUUUAUAAAUUAAAAAACUACUACCAUCAUUGCAUUAUCUAACAACUUUAUUCCAUCACAUAAUUACUACUUCUUUUUUGUGGUGUGAAGAUUUAGGGUCUACUCCUCUUAGCAACAUUCAAGUAUAUGAUGCAGUUUUAUUAGUUAUAAUCAUUAGAUCAUGUUCUGAGGGAAUUUAAUUCCAGGAGUGGCGAGCUGCAGUACAAAAGCCUGUGAUGUGCUCUUUAUAAGAUCACAGUUCUUAAAGAACUGUCUUUGAAUCAGAACCACCUGUGAGGUCGUUUCCUAUGCAGAUGCCCUGCCCGCCUGGGGCCCACCUCAGGCUAGUUGAAUCAGAAGUACUUGGAAGAUGGCCAGGAAGGCUCUCAAAUUUUUAUAAGUUUUCCAGGAGACUGGUAAAACACUCCAGUGACUUAAGGUAUAACAAAUAUUAAACACCAAAGGAUUGGAAUAAAGGAAAGAUGUGAGGAGAGGCAACUUUAUGAUUUUAUCUAGUUCCUGCUUUUGGAUGGAUUAUUUCAGGAGCUGGAGCUAUGUCUGAUUCAAGAAGUAAAACAAAUCAGAAGUAUUUCUGCAGAGGCAGAAAAUGGAAAGGAAGAACUAAUAUUGUGAACUAACAUAUCAUUUGGCAAUAUACUAUACAAUGUGUAAUUAAUAUAUUACAGAUAGAUAAAUAAGUAGCGGAUAGAUGAAUAAUAUAGGCAGAAUAAUUUGUAUAAAUAGCAGUUUCAGUAAUUAUGGAAACAGUGUAAAUAUAAUAAUCAGGAGUUCCCGUUGUGGCUCAGUGGUUAACAAACUGAUUAGCAUCCAUGAAGAUACAGGUUCAAUCCCUGGCCUUGCUCACUGGGUUAAGGAUCCAUUGCCAUGAGCUGUGGUAUAGGUUGCAGAUGCAGCUCAGAUGCAGUGUUGCUGUGGCUGUGGUGUAGGCCAGCAGCUACAGCUUUGAUUUGUCCCCUAGCCUGGGAACCUCCAUAUGCUGAGGGUGCGGCCAUAAAAAGACAAAAAAUAAACAAUAUUUAACUGGAAAAUUUUGGGUUUUGUUUUGAAUAAAACAUUUUAUUUCAUCAUGUGAAGUGGCAGCAUCAUCUUAAUGCAUCUUAAUAUAUAUCAAAAAUAUAUCAGGAUUUAGGUUGUAUUUAGUAUUUAAUUGUGAAAAUAAAGGCAUUUCAGUAACUGAAACCUGGGAAGUCUUUUGAUUAUGAAUGGCUACCUGCAUUCAUUCUUUAUCAAAACUCCUAAAGAUUAUUUCUUGAUUUUUUUUCUCUAUUCUGGGUAUGGUACAAUGCUUAUUUAUCUCAGGUUGGUUUCUAAUUCCCUGAUUCUACACAUUUAAAAUGAAUCUCUAUAAUGCAAGGAAACUGUAGUCUGUAAGUACGAAUAAAAAUAUGAAUAGAAUAUGUUCUGUGAGAUAAAACAGUGAGCUAUUUUAAAUCUGUAACAUAAAAUCUUACCUAAAAAUAUCAAUUAUGGGUCAUUCUUGGUUAAAUAAAAAACUGAAAAGAACCACAGGCAAUUCUCUUUCAAGCACAAAGCCAUCAGCCCAGGAAGACUGACUUCUGAGUUGCUGAUGUCAAUUUCACAAGUGGAAAAAGAGACCUUUGUCCCUGUGAGCUUGUGGCUGCUUUGUUUCUCUGUUCUACUCCAGUAACUCACCAAAAAUGAAAAACAGACUUUGGUUCUAUUAUAGCAUUAUUUUAAAAAGAGUAAGUCAUGUUACUGCAUAUAAGCGAAUUUGGUUGGCUUUGGCUGCAGCAGAAAUUAACAAGGUGUCAAAUGAACAUCGUGACCCCAUUUUUAUCUCAGGCGGACUAUAUUCAUAACUGAGAGCAGGGCCUCCUUCUGCAGCUCAGCGAAACUGGAUUGUGAAGAAUUUCACAAGCUCAGCUGAUUCUGGGAGACAGAAAAUCUCCUGCAUCCUGAGUAUCAUCUGGUAAGAACAUUUCCACACUCCGUGACUCACGUGAGCCUCGAUCUCACGGGGCUGUUACUUCCCCCUAAUCAUAUUCACAACCUCUGCUUCCCUGAGUGUGGAGAAUCUACAUAAAGAAAGUGCCCUUUCAGCUGUAGUUUUUCUCCACACAGCCCUACCCUGAUUUUGGAAAAGCUCAACUCUUGGCCUCCCCUGGGCACACAGAACAGCAGAAUAGAACAGUGAAAACUGCCAAAAUGCUAAUC